rnacentral:sRNA from 1 species
UAAGGACUGGGGCUGGCCGGCCGGCCGCAUGCGCGCGCGGCUUUGGUGAAGAGGCUGGAGUUUCUGGCUCGGCGAGGAAGAGUUUAAAGAACGCUGUACUCAGUGUGCUGCUGUCUCAUGGGGUCUUACUGAUGAAGGCAAAUAUUAUUGCACUAAUUGCCACAAUGUUACAGAGAGAUCUCAGGAAGUUACAAGCACUGAUCUUAUUCCUAAUACCCAAAUAAAAGCCCUCAACCGGGGGCUUAAAAAAAAAAGCAAUACUGAAAAAGGCUGGGAUUGGUAUGUGUGUGAAGGUUUCCAGUACAUUCUUUAUCAACAAGCAGAAGCCUUAAAGAACCUUGGAGUAGGCCCAGAGUUAAAGAAUGAUGUUUUACAUAAUUUUUGGAAGCGCUACCUUCAGAAGAGCAAGCAGGCAUAUUGUAAAAACCCAGUUUAUACCACUGGAAGGAAACCUACGGUAUUAGAAGAUAAUCUAAGUCAGUCAGACUGGGCUAGUGAGCCUGAGCUGCUAAGUGAUGUCAGCUGUCCUCCUUUUCUUGAAAGUGGAGCGGAGUCUCA